rnacentral:lncRNA from 1 species
UCUGUGCAGAGGCUCUGAGUAAAGCCAGGGGGCAGCUGCACUGUAGCGAGUUGCCCCUCACUGGGGGACAGAGUCAGGGUCCUGUAGGUUCAGCUGCACCGGCACUGACCGGAGCAAACCUGACCCCAAGUCCUUAGAAACCCCCAAGUCCCCGAGGUCCCUUAGGGAGCAGAAAUGAAUGGGGCACAGGAAAGCAGAUCUGUGUAAGCCAGAGCCCAGCUUGGCAUUAUUCUUGUUUUAACAAUGGGAAAACUUGUGUCUGGCAACUUGAGGCACACACAGGACAUCAAGUGGAAAAGCAGGACCCGGGGAUGGACAGGCAGGUCUUCUGCAUGUGGGCCCAUCCAGCUCUGCACACACCUGUAUACCACAAAGCCUCCAAGGCCAGACGGGUCCCUGUAGGGAUGAAAGGGGA